UACGAAUGGGGCAAGCGUUGUUCGGAAUCACUGGGCGUAAAGCGUGCGUAGGCGGUUUUGCAAGUCAGAAGUGAAAGCCCAGGGCUCAACCUUGGAAUUGCUUUUGAAACUGCAUAACUUGAAUCCCGGAGAGGUUAGUAGAAUUCCGAGUGUAGAGGUGAAAUUCGCAGAUAUUCGGAGGAAUACCAGUGGCGUAAGCGGCUAACUGGACGGGCAUUGACGCUGAGGUACGAAAGCGUGGGGAUCAAACAGG
rnacentral:rRNA from 1 species